rnacentral:rRNA from 1 species
UUUUGGACAAUGGGCGCAAGCCUGAUCCAGCAAUGCCGCGUGCAGGAUGAAGGCCUUCGGGUUGUAAACUGCUUUUGUACGGAACGAAACGGUUCGCCUUAAUACGGUGGGCUAAUGACGGUACCGUAAGAAUAAGCACCGGCUAACUACGUGCCAGCAGCCGCGGUAAUACGUAGGGUGCAAGCGUUAAUCGGAAUUACUGGGCGUAAAGCGUGCGCAGGCGGUUAUAUAAGACAGAUGUGAAAUCCCCGGGCUCAACCUGGGACCUGCAUUUGUGACUGUAUAGCUAGAGUACGGUAGAGGGGGACGGAAUUCCGCGUGUAGCAGUGAAAUGCGUAGAUAUGCGGAGGAACACCAGUGGCGAAAGCGGCUCAAUAUCUGGUAUUGACGCUGAGGUGCGAA